CAUCUUAAAGAGGUUGCUCCUCCAAAAAGUGCACCCCGCUCGCCCCCUUCAAGCAAAUCCAGUGGAAAGGGCACAAAGAGACCCAGCCUCCUAGUCUCUCGUACCGGCAUCCAGCCGCCUGCUUAGGGACAGGAAGUCGGCCAUGCCGAGAAGGUCGUUCUGAAUGGAAGUGGAAGGACGGCCACAGAAACGGACAGGAAGUUGGCCAUCCCGGGGAGGUCGGUGUGUAAGACAGUGGAGGACUACUGCGCAUGUGUGACUGGAAGUUGGCAGGCCCUAGGAGUAGGUAACCCAAAACACUCGAAGAGCCACUUGGACCCAUUUACAACCGAAAACAUCUUUUAUGACUCAUGGACUUCUACUCCCAGAAGUCCUGAGUCAGCAUAGCUGGGCUAGCUAGCUCU